rnacentral:rRNA from 1 species
CCUACGGGAGGCAGCAGUGAGGAAUAUUGGUCAAUGGACGAGAGUCUGAACCAGCCAAGUCGCGUGAAGGAUGACUGCCCUAUGGGUUGUAAACUUCUUUUAUAUGGGAAUAAAACGUUCCACGUGUGGGAUUUUGUAUGUACCAUAUGAAUAAGGAUCGGCUAACUCCGUGCCAGCAGCCGCGGUAAUACGGAGGAUCCGAGCGUUAUCCGGAUUUAUUGGGUUUAAAGGGAGCGUAGGUGGAUUGUUAAGUCAGUUGUGAAAGUUUGGGGCUCAACCGUAAAAUUGCAGUUGAUACUGGCAGUCUUGAGUACAGUAGAGGUGGGCGGAAUACGUGGUGUAGCGGUGAAAUGCUUAGAUAUCACGAAGAACUCCGAUUGCGAAGGCAGUUCACUGGACUGCAACUGACACUGAGGCUCGAAAGUGUGGGUAUCAAACAGGAUUAGAUACCCGAGUAGUC